GAUGAACGCUGACAGAAUGCUUAACACAUGCAAGUCAACUUGAAUUUGGGUUUUUAACUUAGGUUUGGGUGGCGGACGGGUGAGUAACGCGUAAAGAACUUGCCUCACAGCUAGGGACAACAUUUGGAAACGAAUGCUAAUACCUAAUAUUAUGAUAAUAGGGCAUCCUAUAAUUAUGAAAGCUAUAAGCGCUGUGAGAGAGCUUUGCGUCCCAUUAGCUAGUUGGAGAGGUAACGGCUCACCAAGGCUAUGAUGGGUAGCCGGCCUGAGAGGGUGAUCGGCCACAAGGGGACUGAGACACGGCCCUUACUCCUGCGGGAGGCAGCAGUGGGGAAUGUUGGACAAUGGACCGAGAGUCUGAUCCAGCAAUUCUGUGUGCACGAUGAAGUUUUUCGGAAUGUAAAGUGCUUUCAGUUGGGAAGAAACAAAUGACGGUACCAACAGAAGAAGUGACGGCUAACUACGUG
rnacentral:rRNA from 1 species